UCCUGAGACAACCUGACCAUG
rnacentral:misc_RNA from 1 species